UACGGGGGAUGCGAGCGUUAUCCGGAUUUAUUGGGUUUAAAGGGUGCGUAGGCGGCGCUUCAGGUCAGCGGUGAAAUACCGGGGCUCAACCCCGGGGCUGCCGUUGAAACCGGAGCGCUAGAAUUCCGAUGCCGUCGGAGGAAUGUGUGGUGUAGCGGUGAAAUGCAUAGAUAUCACGCAGAACGCCGAUUGCGAAGGCAGCUUACCGGCGCUCAACUGACGCUGAGGCACGAAAGUGCGGGUAUCGAACAGG
rnacentral:rRNA from 1 species